UUUGCUAAAACCCAGGCUUCCGUCGUUCCAUUGUCAGAUCGUUUCGGAGUGGAUCUGUUAGUUACCGACAUGACCCUCGUGUUCGACAAGCAGUCUUCGGUUCCCAGCUCAAGCAGCGUACCAGCACUUCUCACCAGCAGUUUCACCUCCCUGAACAUUCUAUCAGGAAGCAUCAGUGCUGCAGCUGUCAACACCACCGCUCCAGCAGCUGUCAAC